AAAUUCUGGGCGCAGCAAAUUAUGGGCAUCAUUUGCCUUCACGUACAUGUCCAAUUGAUUAGCAUCACCUUCCAAUGGCUUCUGGAAGGCGAAACAAAUCGGUCAAUAUUAACACAAUACUUUCAAGUAUAAAGUGCAAGGAAUGUCGGCUGGACAGCAUAAGUUUGGUAACACGUGCGCACAAGCUCUUCGGCCAGCUUCAUGUGGUCGGACUGCAGGCCGUUAUGUGCUCCCAGAGCCAAGGUUCCUCCCAAAAAGCAUACCAAAUGGUCCUGCAUAAUCAACAUAACAGUAAAAAUUUGAACACACUGUUCAAUUACACAAACGGUAGGUACGCACCAUUUUAGGUUUCACAUCCUUGUUUGAACCGACUAGUUCUGCGAGGAACAUAUACUUAUUCGCAGCUGUGUACUUUACAAGGUGUUUUUGUGUUCCCCAAAUUGCUGUAUUGUAAUCAUCACGCAAACU